AUUGAACGCUGGCGGCAGGCUUAACACAUGCAAGUCGAGCGGGGGAAAGUACUUCGGUACUGACCUUAGCGGCGGACGGGUGAGUAAUACUUAGGAAUCUGCCUAUUAGUGGGGGACAACAUCUCGAAAGGGAUGCUAAUACCGCAUACGUCCUACGAGAGAAAGCAGGGGAUCUUUAUGACCUUGCGCUAAUAGAUGAGCCUAAGUCGGGUUAGCUAGUUGGUGGGGUAAAGGCCUACCAAGGCGACGAUCUGUAGCGGGUCUGAGAGGAUGAUCCGCCACACUGGGACUGAGACACGGCCCAGACUCCUACGGGAGGCAGCAGUGGGGAAUAUUGGACAAUGGGGGGAACCCUGAUCCAGCCAUGCCGCGUGUGUGAGGAAGGCCUUAUGGUUGUAAAGCACUUUAAGCGAGGAGGAGGCUCUUUUGGUUAAUACCCAAGAUGAGUGGACGUUACUCGCAGAAUAAGCACCGGCUAACUCUGUGCCAGCCGCCGCCGUAA
rnacentral:rRNA from 1 species